GCAGGACAAACUCCUGUCACUGUAUAGUGAAUACAUAGCUAUACAGAGGGAACCCGGUUAACUGAAACAUCUAAGUAGCCGGAGGAAGAGAAAGAAACAUCGAUUUCCAAAGUAGCGGCGAGCGAAAUGGAAAGAGCCUAAACCGUCGUGCGUGCAUGGCGGGGUUCGGACUGAGUACGGUAUCAGACAAGAUUAGAAGAACUGUUUUGGGAAAGCAGGCCAAAGAGAGUGAAAGCCUCGUAUUCGAAAGUUGAGUCUGGCCAUCAGUAUCCAGAGUACCACGAGACACGAGAAACCUUGUGGGAAGGCAGGGGGACCACCCCCUAAGGCUAAAUACUACUUAGUGACCGAUAGCGCAUAGUACUGUGAAGGAAAGGUGAAAAGAACCCCGGGAGGGGAGUGAAAGAGAACCUGAAACCCUAUGUUUACAAGCUGUGGAACAACUAUUAAAAGUUGAACCGCGUACUUUUUGUAGAACGGUCCGGCGAGUUACGUUUGCAGGCAAGGUUAAGUACUUAAGGUAUGGAGCCGAAGGGAAACCAAGUCUUAAUAGGGCGUCAAGUCAGUAGACGUAGACCCGAAACCGGGUGAUCUAUCCAUGUCCAGGUUGAAGAUGCCGUAAAAGGCAUUGGAGGACCGAACACACAUCCGUUGAAAAGGGUGGUGAUGAGGUGUGGAUAGGGGAGAAAUUCCAAUCGAACCCGGAGAUAGCUGGUUCUCCUCGAAAUAGCUUUAGGGCUAGCCUCGAUAUAGACUAACGGAGGUAGAGCACUGAAUUCUUGCGGGGGCGUCAAAGCUUACCAAGAGAUAUCAAACUCCGAAUGCCGUAUAGCCGAUUAUCGGGAGUCAGACUACACGAGAUAAGUUGGGUAGUCAAAAGGGAAAGAGCCCAGACCUCCAGCUAAGGUCCCAAAGUGCGUGUUAAGUGGAAAAGGAUGUGGAAUCUCGAAGACAACUAGGAUGUUGGCUCAGAAGCAGCCAUUCAUUCAAAGAGUGCGUAAUAGCUCACUAGUCGAGAGGUUCUGCGCCGAAAAUGUCCGGGGCUAAAACACGACACCGAAGCUGAGGAAUGA
rnacentral:rRNA from 1 species